rnacentral:rRNA from 1 species
UAGAUACCCCACUAUGCUUUGCCCUAAACAUUGAUAGUUUAAUACAAGCACUAUCCGCCUGGGAACUACGAGCAGUAGCUUAAAACCCAAGGACUUGGCGGUGCUUUAGACCCACCUAGAGGAGCCUGUCCUAAAACCGAUGAUCCCCGUUCAACCUCACCUUUCCUUGUUCCCCCCGCCUAUAUACCGCCGUCGUCAGCUUACCCUUUGAAGGCCCUUUCGUAAGCAUAAUUGGCACUGCCUAAAACGUCAGGUCGAGGUGUAGCGUAUGGAAAGGGAAGAGAUGGGCUACAUUCCCUAUUAUAGUGAAUUACGGAUAAUACCACUGAAACGUGUAUCUAGAAGGAGGAUUUAGCAGUAAGCAGAAAGUAGAGCGUUCUGCUGAAACCGGCCCUGAAGCGCGCACACACCGCCCGU